GAUGAACGCUAGCGGGAGGCUUAACACAUGCAAGUCGAGGGGCAGCAUAGGGUAGCAAUACUCUGAUGGCGACCGGCAAACGGGUGAGUAACGCGUAUGCAACCUACCCUGUACAGGGGGAUAACCCGGAGAAAUUCGGACUAAUAUCCCGUAAUAAUAUCCGGAGGCAUCUUUGGAUAUUUAAAGUUCCGACGGUACGGGAUGGGCAUGCGUAACAUUAACUGGUUGGUAAGGUAACGGCUUACCAAGGCUAUGAUGUUUAGGGGUCCUGAGAGGGUGGUCCCCCACACUGGUACUGAGACACGGACCAGACUCCUACGGGAGGCAGCAGUGAGGAAUAUUGGUCAAUGGGCGCAAGCCUGAACCAGCCAUCCCGCGUGCAGGAAGACGGCCCUAUGGGUUGUAAACUGCUUUUCCAGGGGGAGAAACUUUCCGAUGCAUCGGGAUUUGACGGUACCCUGGGAAUAAGCAUCGGCUAACUCCGUG
rnacentral:rRNA from 1 species